GAUGAACGCUGGCGGCGUGCCUAAUACAUGCCAGUCGAGCGAACAGACGAGGAGCUUGCUCCUCUGACGUUAGCGGCGGACGGGUGAGUAACACGUGGAUAACCUACCUAUAAGACUGGGAUAACUUCGGGAAACCGGAGCUAAUACCGGAUAAUAUAUUGAACCGCAUGGUUCAAUAGUGAAAGACGGUUUUGCUGUCACUUAUAGAUGGAUCCGCGCCGCAUUAGCUAGUUGGUAAGGUAACGGCUUACCAAGGCAACGAUGCGUAGCCGACCUGAGAGGGUGAUCGGCCACACUGGAACUGAGACACGGUCCAGACUCCUACGGGAGGCAGCAGUAGGGAAUCUUCCGCAAUGGGCGAAAGCCUGACGGAGCAACGCCGCGUGAGUGAUGAAGGUCUUCGGAUCGUAAAACUCUGUUAUUAGGGAAGAACAAAUGUGUAAGUAACUAUGCACGUCUUGACGGUACCUAAUCAGAAAGCCACGACUAACUACGUG
rnacentral:rRNA from 1 species